rnacentral:rRNA from 1 species
UACAGAGGGUGCAAGCGUUAAUCGGACUUACUGGGCGUAAAGCGUGCGUAGACGGUUAUGUAAGUCGGGUGUGAAAGCCCCGGGCUCAACCUGGGAAUUGCAUUCGAGACUGCAUAGCUAGGGUGCGGAAGAGGGAAGCGGAAUUUCCGGUGUAGCGGUGAAAUGCGUAGAUAUCGAGAGGAACACCUGCGGCGAAGGCGGGUUGCUGGGCUGACACUGACGCUGAGGCGCGAAAGCGUGGGUAGCAAACAGG